rnacentral:rRNA from 1 species
AGCGUGGUAACACGUUCAGCUGACUGGUACUAAUGGUCCGAUAGGCUUGAUUUG